ensembl:lncRNA
CUCUUCUUCUGACAGACUGCAGUGAACGAGAGGGAGAGAGAGUGAGACAGGGAGAAAAAGAGAGAUUUAAAAGACAGGGAAGAGUAAAGAGACCAGAGAGGGAGAGAGAGCGAGAGAGAGAGAGAGAGAGAGAGUGAGAAAGAGAGAGAGGGGGAAGAGACCAGGCAGUGGAGGGAGCAGAGACAGAGCAUGCUGACAGAGGAAGUUCAGUGUGCUCUGCAGCCUGAGGAACAUGUGCUCAGCAAUUAACUGCGGCUUGUCGCGCCCUGGGAAGGUGUCUGCAACCCCGGGCUCUUGCCUGCGCAGCUGUCGGUGUUUGGAGCUACAAGGAGCGCAGUGAGGAGACGCGAACCUGGAUACAGAAAACCACGAGCUAAGCUAGAGCAGAGUAAACAGGAGCUCCUGGCAUGAACACAAUGACUACACAGACAAGAACAACUGUCUUACAGAAUGAAGACCACAACUACGAAGAUGGGGACUAUUCCAAGCAGCAGAACAGUUAACAUGGAUCCUUCAUCCGUAUCAAAGAGGACGGCCCUCGUCCAUCUUCCGGCCCCCUCCCACUCCGUCUGAUGUGCGUGUC